CAAGGUCAGUGGCGAACGGGUGCGUAACGCGUAAGGAACCUGCCCUCUACUGGGGGGAUAGCCCGGCGAAAGCUGGGGUAAACCCGCAUGGUUCAUUGAUUCCGCAUGGGGUUAUUGAUAAAUAUUUAUAGGUAGAGGAGGGUCUUGCGUCUGAUUAGUUAGUUGGCAGGGUAACGGCCUACCAAGACGAUGAUCAGUAGGGGUUCUGAGAGGAACGGCCCCCACAUGGACACUGAGACACGGGUCCAACUCCUACGGGAGGCAGCAGUAGGGAAUAUUGGGCAAUGGGCGAGAGCCUGACCCAGCCAUGCCGCGUGCAGGAUGAAGGCCCUCUGGGUUGUAAACUGCUUUUGCCGGGGAAGAACGGCACCCCUGUGGGGGUGUGUGACGGUACUCGGUGAAUAAGCACCGGCUAACUCCGUGCCAGCAGCCGCGGUAAUACGGAGGGUGCAAGCGUUGUCCGGAUUUAUUGGGUUUAAAGGGUGCGUAGGUGGCAGAAUAAGUCUGGUUUGAAAGUUGGUCGCUUAACGAUCAAGGGUGGCUGGAUACUGUUUUGCUUGAAUGUUUUGGAGGUAGCUGGAAUGGGUUGUGUAGCGGUGAAAUGCAUAGAGAUGACCCGGAACUCCAAUUGCGUAGGCAGGCUACUACGAAAUGAUUGACACUGAGGCACGAGAGCAUGGGUAGCAAACAGGAUUAGAUACCCUGGUAGUCCAUGCCGUAAACGAUGAUUACUGACUGUUAUGUUUUCGGAUGUAGUGGUUAAGCGAAAGCGUUAAGUA
rnacentral:rRNA from 1 species